UGUUAAGUCAAUUCCUGAGUCCACGCCUCCCAACAUCAGUGCACUCAACACAAAUGCCCCCAGCAGACACAUGUUCAGCAUUACUGUGAAAGAGCCCUAUACCCAUGCAGCUGAUUGUACAUGUGUACCAAUCUCUUACCUGUGAUUGGUAACCCUGGCCAAUUCAUCUCACUGAAACGAUACCAUGGUAGAACUGUUCAGACCCCUUCCCUAUAGAUCUGUUCCUCUGGAGCAGACCAGUUGUUUAUCCCUAUUUUCAACCACCCCAGAGAAUCCAUGCAUGGAACUAGUGUCACAGCCGAGGAGCCAGAUGGCAGCCUAACAUGAUCCCUGAUUGGAUUCUGUGGUCACCAUCUGCACAAGGGUGAGGUGGGGGAGGAUGACGCUGUUGCAGCAUCUCGUCCCAUUCUACUUAUUUUCAAUCAGGUAGAAGAUGCCUCAUAUCCCUUCUCUGAAUCCUGCCUUGAUUACACAUGAGUACAGCCCAAGUCUUCCUACUUCUCUGGCUUCCUCCCUUGGUUACUCAACUAUCCAUUUACAACAACCAUUUUUUACUAAAAGAUGUCACUUAUUUGGUCAUUUGUACAAUGCCCUUUGGUAGCAGCAACACAAUGAGUUGAUUCAGAUUUAUCAUGGGGUGCAGGAAACAUAUUGUAAUCCCAUUCUCCAUAGCCCUUUUUUAGAUGUUCCACAAACACAAUGAGGAUUGUGGACCUAGCCCCGAAAUAUGCUGUCCAAUGUCUCCUUCUGUUUACUUGUUUCUGGGCUUCCCAUAUCUUUUUAAACUUUUGUCUCCAAUUCAUGAGGACUGGUAGUGUUUUUAAUUCAUUCUGCUGUUUACUGGGUUAAAAUUACCUUACUCACUUGACAAGUCAUUUUCAGAUAUUUAAGCAUGAACACAGAGGGGAGGAACUGGGAUUAUGCCCAUGGUUCCUGAUAUCUACACAUUAAUCACCAAAUAAGAAGACAUGGGGAUGCAGGUGGUGCUGUGGUCUACAUCACUGAACCUCUUGGGCUUGCUGAUCAGGUCAGCCAGUUUGAAUCCAUGUGAUGGGGUGAGCUCCUGUUGCUCUGCCCCAGCUUCUGCCAACCUAGCAGUUCAAAAGCAUGUCAGUGCUAGUAGAUAAAUAGCUACCACUGUGGCGGGAACGUAAAUGGGAUUUCCAUGCGCUUUGGUUUUUGUCACGGUGUUCCAUUGCACCAGAAGCGGUUUAGUCAUGCUGGCCACAAGACCCAGAAAGCUGUCUGUGGACAAACACCAGCUCCCUCGGCCUGAAAGCAAGAUGAGCGCUGCACCCCAUAGUCACCUUUGACUGGACUUAACUGUCCAGGGCAAUACAUGAACUGAAACACAGCCAUCUUUUGAAAUCUGCACUUGUCUGAAUUUUGAGAUGCUGUUCUUCAGCCAAGUAAUAUGUACGAAAAUGCAUAUACUAAAGAGUGCAUAUACUGUAAAUGCAUAUAUCAGUAAAAUCAUAUACAAAAUGUAUUAUAUUUUUUCAAAA